rnacentral:miRNA from 1 species
ACGCACUGUCCUGGGAAGUGG